GGGCCCGCACAAGCGGUGGAGCAUGUGGUUUAAUUCGAUGAUACGCGAGGAACCUUACCAGGGCUUAAAUGUAAGUUGCAUUAGUUAGAGAUAGCUAUUUCUUCGGACCACUUACAAGGUGCUGCAUGGUUGUCGUCAGCUCGUGCCGUGAGGUGUCAGGUUAAGUCCUAUAACGAGCGCAACCCCUGUUGUUAGUUGCCAGCGAGUCAUGUCGGGAACUCUAACAAGACUGCCGGUGCAAACCGUGAGGAAGGUGGGGAUGACGUCAAAUCAUCACGGCCCUUACGUCCUGGGCUACACACGUGCUACAAUGGUCGGUACAGAGAGCAGCCACUACGCGAGUAGGAGCGAAUCUAUUAAAACCGGUCUCAGUUCGGAUCGGAGUCUGCAACUCGACUCCGUG
rnacentral:rRNA from 1 species